rnacentral:rRNA from 1 species
CUCAUUAUAUAAGUUAUCGUUUAUUUGAUAGUACCUUACUACUUGGAUAACCGUGGUAAUUCUAGAGCUAAUACAUGCUAAAAAUCCCGACUUCGGAAGGGAUGUAUUUAUUAGAUUAAAAACCAAUGCCCUUCGGGGCUCACUGGUGAUUCAUGAUAACUCCUCGAAUCGCAUGGCCUUGUGCCGGCGAUGGUUCAUUCAAAUUCUUCCCUAUCAACUUCGAUGUUGGUUGCCCAAGCU